GAUGAACGCUGGCGGCGUGCCUAAUACAUGCAAGUCGAGCGAACAGACGAGGAGCUUGCUCCUCUGACGUUAGCGGCGGACGGGUGAGUAACACGUGGAUAACCUACCUAUAAGACUGGGAUAACUUCGGGAAACCGGAGCUAAUACCGGAUAAUAUAUUGAACCGCAUGGUUCAAUAGUGAAAGACGGUUUUGCUGUCACUUAUAGAUGGAUCCGCGCCGCAUUAGCUAGUUGGUAAGGUAACGGCUUACCAAGGCAACGAUGCGUAGCCGACCUGAGAGGGUGAUCGGCGACACUGGAACUGAGACACGGUCCAGACUCCUAAGGGAGGCAGCAGUAGGGAAUGUUACGCAAUGGGCGAAAGCCUGACGGAGCAACGCCGCGUGAGUGAUGAAGGUCUUCGGAUCGUAAAACUCUGUUAUUAGGGAAGAACAAAUGUGUAAGUAACUAUGCACGUCUUGACGGUACCUAAUCAGAAAGCCACGGCUAACUACGUG
rnacentral:rRNA from 1 species